UACAGAGGGUGCAAGCGUUGCUCGGAAUUACUGGGCGUAAAGGGCGCGUAGGCGGGCAGGUAAGUCGGUCGUGAAAGCCCCGGGCUCAACCUGGGAACUGCACUCGAAACUGCCUUUCUUGAAUGUCGGAGGGGAAAGCGGAAUUCCCGGUGUAGAGGUGAAAUUCGUAGAUAUCAGGAGGAACACCAGUGGCGAAGGCGGCUUUCUGGACGAUUAUUGACGCUGAGACGCGAAAGCGUGGGGAGCAAACAGG
rnacentral:rRNA from 1 species